GACGAACGCUGGCGGCGUGCUUAACACAUGCAAGUCGAACGAUGAACCCGGAGCUUGCUCUGGGGGAUUAGUGGCAAACGGGUGAGUAACACGUGAGUAACCUGCCCUGGACUCUGGGAUAAGCGUUGGAAACGACGUCUAAUACCGGAUAGGACCUUGGAUCGCAUGAUCUGGGGUGGAAGGUUUUUUCGGUCUGGGAUGGACUCGCGGCCUAUCAGCUUGUUGGUGAGGUAAUGGCUCACCAAGGCGUCGACGGGUAGCCGGCCUGAGAGGGUGACCGGCCACACUGGGACUGAGACACGGCCCAGACUCCUACGGGAGGCAGCAGUGGGGAAUAUUGCACAAUGGGCGAAAGCCUGAUGCAGCAACGCCGCGUGCGGGAUGACGGCCUUCGGGUUGUAAACCGCUUUUAGUAGGGAAGAAGGGCUUCGGCUUGACGGUACCUGCAGAAAAAGGACCGGCUAACUACGUG
rnacentral:rRNA from 1 species